rnacentral:rRNA from 1 species
CCUACGGUGGGCAGCAGUGGGGAAUAUUGCACAAUGGGGGAAACCCUGAUGCAGCGACGCCGCGUGAGCGAUGAAGUAUUUCGGUAUGUAAAGCUCUAUCAGCAGGGAAGAAAAUGACGGUACCUGACUAAGAAGCCCCGGCUAACUACGUGCCAGCAGCCGCGGUAAUACGGAGGGGGCAAGCGUUAUCCGGAUGUACUGGGAGUAAAGGGAGCGUAGGCGGGGGUGAAAGCCAGAUGUGAAAGCCCGGGGCUCAACCACGGGACUGCAUUUGGACCGGUGCUGCUAGAGUGUCGGAGAGGCAGGCGGAAUUCCUGGUGUAGCGGUGAAAUGCGUAGAUAUUAGGAGGAACA